GUGCACUCCAGCCUGGGCGACAGAGCGAGACUCCAUCUCAAAAAACAAACAGAAAAACAAGUGGUCAUUGCUAAAAUGGCAAUGUGUUUCAGGCCUGUAACUCAUUUGUAUAAUUACAAAUCUCAUGGCAGGUAGUAAGAGGUAGGAUACGCUUUGCUUUGUUAAAACCUGGUAAUAAUGCAUGGACUUGCUUAAAGCAACAAUUAUUAUCCUUCACAUUCAAGAAGACCCUGGUUUAUAACCUGGUUGGUUCUUUCUCUUUAAGAACAUUCAUAAAAGGGCUUUAGUUGCUUUACCAGUGAGCCAAACCAUCUAUGACAGUUCACUUUUAUGGUCUUUGAAGAUGCUAUUGGCUGAUUUUCUGUUCAGCAGGUCAGUUCUACCGUUUAACCACCCAAAUCAUUAAAAUGGACAAAAUAAAUGAUUCACUAAGACACUGUCUUAUGACCAGGGACACGAUGUCUUGGCAAUGACUUGGUGUGUCUGUUUGUCUCAUAAAGGGGAAAUCAAUAAUCCCAUCACCAAGUAUCCAGGUUUUCAAUCUGUCUAAAAUAAACACACAUUCAUUUAUUUCCUUCUUUGGAUGUCAACCCAGCUUUUAGAGCAAUUUUCUUUAAACAGCAUGAAUGCACAUGGGUACAUAUGGACGGAAACAGACACACACAUUCUCCAUGAGAAAAGAGAGCAAGUUCUAUAUAAGGAACCCAUGUUGGGAAACAGCCAAGUGAAAUGCACCUGGAUGUCUACGUAGGCAGUCAUAAGAUUGCCAGUGGCCAGCAGAAGAUGAAAGGGAAUGCCUGCUUAAGAGAGAAGAGCACGCCUUGUGCAAACAUCAAAGCGCUGCUUUUAAGAGGGUACAAUUAACAGUGCCUACGUCCUGGGAACAUGCUACCAAAAGUCAGAAGGCCAAAUUCCCUCAGCCUCUAUCCAGCAUCACAAGUAACUUCAAUGAGAACCAUAGGAACAUGGAGUGUCCUGUGGAUCUGAGAACUGCAAUGGGCCCUAGGUGCUCUUCCAUCCAAGCUUAUCAUGAUUCAGGAGAAGAAAUUGAGGACUGAAGACAUCAAAUAUAAUAAGCUAAUGGAGGAACUGAGGCUAUUUGCCUGGCUCCAGUGCUCUUUCCUUUGCCUGAAAAUCUUUACAGGUCAGCCAUCUAUCGUGUGUAGAAUAAGCAAACUCAAUUAAUAUUGGAAAUAUUAAAAGAAUAGAGGUUGCGUGGAUAUUGGCUGGAACAGAGAAGUUUUCACAAGGAAAUAAAGUAACACUAGCUGCUCACUGCUUUGACUUAAACCAUACAGCAACUCCAGAAACACGGUGGGUGUGGUUGAGUGGGAAGGUAAGCUCAAGAAUGCUAAAUGUGUCUGAAGGCAAAGGGGAUUAUUUGUCAUUGGCCUUCUGACUCAAGAAAGCCAACCUAAAUAUAUAUAAACCUACUGAUAAGCAGAGAGAAUAUAGGACUGUUAUACUUGGUUUCCAUCACUUUGUUCAGAAAGCAAGAAGGCAGCUGCAUUCCACACUGGCCAAAACUAAUACAUCGGGUUGUGCUCCUCUUAAUCUUAGGUGUCUUCUGGUAGGAAUGUUUUAAAAUUCAACACAAGGGGAGAGGGAACAAGCUAGAUACAGAGAAAAUAAUUAUAUAUUUAGAGGACUAUGAGAUCUUAAUAAAAUUUCAUGGUAUGGGCGCUCUAUUGCAUUUACCAUUCAUUCAACAAACAUUACUGAUUGCCCGUUAUGUACUAGGCCCUGGUCUAGGCACAAGGAAUACACAGAUAAAUGUGUUCACUGCCCCUUACUUUCUCAAAAGUUGAGGGGCCAGAAAACUAAAAUGAAAUGAGACAGACACCACUGGGGAUCAUGGCAGGGUUGAGGGGAGGGCCUUCAACCCUGCCUCGCUAUAUUAGCAAAGGCUUCUAGGAGAGGAGUUGAGGCCUUUUCAUGAUUUUUGAAGGAAAGGCAAUGUUGAUCAAGUAAAUUGGAGAAAAGACAUUCCUAGUGGGAGAAACAGCCAUAUCAAGGCUUCAAAGAAUGAUCAGGAAACUAUAAUAAAUGUAUUCUUUCUCUAGUG